rnacentral:rRNA from 1 species
CCUACGGGAGGCAGCAGUGAGGAAUAUUGCGCAAUGGGCGAAAGCCUGACGCAGCGACGCCGCGUGGGCGACGAAGGCCUUCGGGUUGUAAAGCCCUUUUGGCAGGGACGAGUGAGGACGGUACCUGCCGAAUAAGUCUCGGCUAACUACGUGCCAGCAGCCGCGGUAAAACGUAGGAGGCGAGCGUUAUCCGGAUUUACUGGGCGUAAAGCGCGCGUAGGCGGUCGGUCAAGUCAGAUGUUAAAGCCCCGGGCUCAACUAGGGGAGGUCAUUUGAUACUGUCCGGCUUGAGGGUGAGAGAGGAGAGUGGAAUUCCCGGUGUAGCGGUGGAAUGCGUAGAGAUCGGGAGGAACACCAGUGGCGAAGGCGGCUCUCGGGGGUCAACCUGACGCUGAGGUGCGAAAGCGGGGGGAGCGAACCGGAUUAGAUACCCGGGUAGU